rnacentral:rRNA from 1 species
GACGAACGCUGGCGGCGUGCUUAACACAUGCAAGUCGAGCGAUGAAGUUCCUUCGGGAAUGGAUUAGCGGCGGACGGGUGAGUAACACGUGGGUAACCUGCCUCAUAGAGGGGAAUAGCCCUUCGAAAGGAAGAUUAAUACCGCAUAAGAUUGUAGUAUCGCAUGAUACAGCAAUUAAAGGAGUAAUCCGCUAUGAGAUGGACCCGCGUCGCAUUAGCUAGUUGGUGAGGUAACGGCUCACCAAGGCGACGAUGCGUAGCCGACCUGAGAGGGUGAUCGGCCACAGUGGGACUGAGACACGGCCCAGACUCCUACGGGAGGCAGCAGUGGGGAAUAUUGCACAAUGGGGGAAACCCUGAUGCAGCAACGCCGCGGGAGUGAUGACGGUCUUCGGAUUGUAAAACUCUGUCUUCAGGGGCGAUAAUGACGGUACCUGAGGAGGAGGCCACGGCUAACUACGUGCCAGCAGCCGCAGUAA